GUGGCUUUCCAUGCGGGCGUCAUACAUGGAAUUUAAUACUGUAAUGAAAUCGACAAGGCGGCAACUGGAGAGAGAGAUUAUGGUUGAAGACAUUACACGCCUUGAAGAUUUGCCAUCAUACAGUCUUCUCAGUCAGUAGCAAAAUAGCUUUACCAUGUAAGUAGAAAGAUCUAACACCUCAGAAACACUAUAUCAAAGCCUAAAAACAACAACAGAGCAAACAAGCAAAAAGAAGACAAGGCUUGUCUAUCCUCUCUUUCUUUCUAGCUCUCGGUCGCUCAUCACUUCAUCUUCCUGUCCUGGUUUCUGCGGUUUCCUCUAUAUUAGUGUUGGUUCCAUGAAAUCUGGGACAUUAGGUUGUUAUUUCUAUGAGACAACGUUUAAAUUUUGAUUCGUAUGGGGUCAAUUUUUCUAACUUGCGGCGUUUGCAAAACGUUGUUGGUUAGUUGGUGUUUGGGCUAAUAAUACAUUUGGUUACAUUUCCAGUAGUACUCAGAAGACCCCAAAAAGGUCUUAAAAUAUGAUUCUCGACCAAAUGUUUUUGAUUCAUGACCUUAUUCAAUAUGAUUUGAUUUUAUCUCUCUCGAA